UAAAAGAUGUUACAUGUUCACUCGACAUGUGUGUAUAGGUUUAAAGGUAACCUAGGAGUAGCAACAACAUGUAGUGGAGUUUGCAUGUAUGUUACUGUGCCAGGACUCUCCAUCAUAUCAACAUCUUUAACCUCAACACCAUUAGGCAGUGACCAAACAAAAUGGUGCAACAAAUGAGCUAACAUAGACGUAACCAAAUUAAUUGCAAGGUUCAUUCCUGGACAUAUACGUCUACCAGCACCAAAUGGUAAAAACUUAUAGUCAUGUCCCUUCAUGUCAACAUCUUCUUCUAUAAAUCUUUCUGGCCUAAAUUGCAAU